rnacentral:lncRNA from 1 species
AAUUCGGAUCGAGCCCAUAACUUUGGCAACAUAAUAAUUUGUUGGGAGGAGUCAUUUGGUGAGUUUUGAGUGAAAUCCAAUAUCUAAAACUAGGCCUUACAUCAACCACUCCAUUGACGAACGAAUUUCAUACGAAUUGGAAGGGUCCAAUUUUUUUGAUUUGUGGAUUUCGGAUCGACUCCAAAACUUGGGCAGCAUCAUAAUAUUGAGGGAUGAGUCAUUUUG